rnacentral:misc_RNA from 1 species
AACUGAUACUACCUGCGGGAACCUGCGGAAGGAUCAUUACCGAGUUUUCAACUCCCAAACCCCAUGUGAACUUAUACCAUUUACAACCGUUGCUUCGGCGGGUUCUCGCCCCGGGCUUUACACCCCGGAACCAGGCGGCCCGCCGGGGGACCCAAACUCUAGAUUUAUAUUUUAGCAUGUCUGAGUGGAAUCAUUACAAAAUGAAUCAAAACUUUUAGCAACGGAUCUCUAGAUCGGAAG